rnacentral:rRNA from 1 species
CUGCCUGUAAGACUGGGAUAACUCCGGGNAACCGGAGCUAAUACCGGAUAGUUCCUUGAACCGCAUGGUUCAAGGAUGAAAGACGGUUUCGGCUGUCACUUACAGAUGGACCCGCGGCGCAUUAGCUAGUUGGUGAGGUAACGGCUCACCAAGGCGACGAUGCGUAGCCGACCUGAGAGGGUGAUCGGCCACACUGGGACUGAGACACGGCCCAGACUCCUACGGGAGGCAGCAGUAGGGAAUCUUCCGCAAUGGACGAAAGUCUGACGGAGCAACGCCGCGUGAGUGAUGAAGGUUUUCGGAUCGUAAAGCUCUGUUGUUAGGGAAGAACAAGUGCAAGAGUAACUGCUUGCACCUUGACGGUACCUAACCAGAAAGCCACGGCUAACUACGUGCCAGCAGCCGCGGUAAUACGUAGGUGGCAAGCGUUGUCCGGAAUUAUUGGGCGUAAAGGGCUCGCAGGCGGUUUCUUAAGUCUGAUGUGAAAGCCCCCGGCUCAACCGGGGAGGGUCAUUGGAAACUGGGAAACUUGAGUGCAGAAGAGGAGAGUGGAAUUCCACGUGUAGCGGUGAAAUGCGUAGAGAUGUGGAGGAACACCAGUGGCGAAGGCGACUCUCUGGUCUGUAACUGACGCUGAGGAGCGAAAGCGUGGGGAGCGAACAGGAUUAGAUACCCUGGUAGUCCACGCCGUAAACGAUGAGUGCUAAGUGUUANGGGGUUUCCGCCCCUUAGUGCUGCAGCUAACGCAUUAAGCACUCCGCCUGGGGAGUACGGUCGCAAGACUGAAACUCAAGGAAUUGACNGGGGCCCGCACAAGCGGUGGAGCAUGUGGUUUAAUUCGAAGCAACGCGAGAACCUUACCAGGUCUUGACAUCCUCUGACAACCCUAGAGAUAGGGCUUUCCCUUCGGGGACAGA